CCAAAUAUAACCCUAACUCAUCCCUCUCCCCCCUUCUCUCUCUCUCCCUCCCUCUCCUGUGAACUACUCCCGCCGUCGACCCAUCCGCCGCUGCCGCCUCCUCCAGCUCGAUCGGGCUCCGCCUUCGCCGCUGCCAGAUCCGCCUCUGGUCGUCGCUGCUGCCUCCGCCUCUGGUCGCCGCAACUGCCGCCGCCUCCAGCUCGAUCGGGCUUCGCCUCCGUCGUUUCUAGAUCCGCCUCCGCCUUCAUCGCUGCCAGAUCCGCCUCAAAGGCAUUCCACCAAUGGAUAAUAGAACCAAGCCCAGUGCAGAUGCGGAAGAUCCUCCUCAAAAUCAAUCGGAUAUCCCACAACCAAAAACGUCUUUGUGGCUAACCAAACUAACAUCGGGGUACAGAAAGAUGUCUUUAGUCUCAGAGCACCCUAUACACAUGACCUCAUACGAAAGGAUGGAAAAAUGCUAUCUCAGUUCUUUUGUGUGUCCAAAGGUUGAUUUUCAUACGCGAUAACAUGAGGCAUCAUCACAUCAUUGAAGGUAGGUUGCCACAAUUGUCGAGCUCAUUGGUAGAAUAGAUUCAAGAAGCUAUUAAGACAGUUAUGAAAUCCUUUCACAAUCACCUGCCAACCAUUCAAGGUAGAUUGUCUCCCUGCCGUUGUCUUCAUCAUCACCACCCUAGAUCUUUCGGAUUAUUAAGAGUAUUCGUUAUUUGUAUGGAUGAUAGAAUUUAUUAUGUAUUUUAUUAUUUAUGAAUGUGUAAUUAGUAUGGAUAGAUUUUACAAUGUAUUUUUAAUAUUUAUGGAUGAUGUGUAUUACUUUAUGGAUUUAUUGUAUUGUAUGAAUGACUUUUUUUAGUUCGUA